AUCAGAUUUUUACGUUUGUGUUGAAUGUCUCCUUUAAAAUAUUUUUUACCACCAAUGACAAAGAAAACAUUUCCACUUUUUGGCAAAAUCCACCAGCUGCACAAGUCUUGUUAAGUAGCUGGAAGCAGUGAUGAGCCCAGAUUGAGGUGAGAGAGGGGCUGGUCUCCUGCCUCCAGCGCCAUCUGCUCCAGAAAGGACACUUUUAGACAUGCUGAAUAGACAAUACAGCGCUGGCGAACACAGGUGGUGAUUAUCAAAGCAGUUACAUCAUCAAUACAGACAGGAGGGAGAGAUGACUUACUCUUUUUGGAGAUGACUGGCUGAAUGCGGGGCUCAAGUAAUAAACUUUACUCUAUUAAAAAAAAACCUGGAGAUUUCUGGAGGGAUUCAGUCAGAAGAUGCAAAACCUUCUCAAGUAUGUAAAGCCAAUAUAGUGUGAUAAAAGAAAAAAAAAAGAGGAAGGUUAAAUGGUCAACAGAGAAUCUGUAGGGUUAGACCCGUCGUUACCGACUCUUAACUCGUCAAAGUGGAUUAGAAACGUCGGUUGUCCGACACUUCAUUCCUCAUAAUUUCUCUCACAUUUUUCAGAAAGACUCACGAAAAGUUCCACACUUACUCUAAUGCAUAUCUGAAACUGAUUCAUAUCUAAAAAAAAAAAAAAAAAAAAAAA